UGAUCACAAUGAUGUGGAAGUGCUAGAAGCUAUGGCAGCAGGAAACAUGUGAUGGCUACCAUGUUUUGACGUCACUAUCGGUGGUGACUGCAGUCCGGGAAAAGGCCGUGCACCGCAAUUUCACUAUCUAUGGUCUGCGUGCACGACAUUUCACCAAUUCCCCACUUGUAUGUGCCAAUGAAUCAAGUAAAUACUAUGCACUAAUCAUUUGACACGCGUUAAGUGACUACCGCUUAAGCAGUCAGCCAUUAGGUUCAAUGGCGACAGGGCGAGGGAUUCAUCGCGACUAUAUUUAAACCGGAAUUACUUAUUAGGCAGGUACGUAUUAACAAGGUUUUACUGUAUUUCUAAUAUUUGCCUUUA
rnacentral:lncRNA from 1 species